GUUAUCUGUCCCUCGUGACGCAUGUUAGAUUUGCGAUAUAGAGAUGGUUAGCAUGGCCCCUGCGCCAGGAUGACAUGCAAGAAACCGAGAAAUGGUGGGUUCAU
rnacentral:snRNA from 1 species